rnacentral:misc_RNA from 1 species
CUUGAUUUUCAUUUGCAGGAGCCAGCGUCUUGCUUGGGUGUAGGAUUUGUUUGGCCCGCCAAUAACAUUUCCGGUUCGACUUCAAAUCGGGCCGGAUUAAAGAUGUUUUCGUCCAAACAAGGACUAACUUGUUUUCUUCUCCGCUCUCAGAUUUUUCAGUCUACAGCCUCUGCAAUCUUGCUCAUGGUUUCCUCCUCGUAACCUAAAGCUAGAGAGAUAACCGGAGAGAUGGUUCUCACUCAUCUUCCAAGAUUCCGCUUCUCUAUCUUCACCCGUCCACCGUCCCCCCUGCACACUCACUUCGACUUAAAUCUCUUACCCAGACUGAAGCUCCCCACCGUUGUUAGACCCAAAUACACUUUAUCCACUACUGAGCCUGUGCCCAUCUCCCAUAUCUCCUCAAACAACCAGGAAAUUUUGGAUUCCCCCCAAAUCCAAAUUUCACUUGACAGGCUCUUCGUGCCGCCAGAGACUGAGGUUUCUCUCAAUGAUGCUUCCCUGAGUACCAGAAUCUUGAAAGGGUCCAACAUAGUAUUGAG